rnacentral:lncRNA from 1 species
GUGGGGCUACCAAAUUAUCACAUUUUCAGCCUAUGGCGGGGCCUGCACAUUAUAGUUCCACAUUUCUAGCCUGUGAUGGGGCCUACCAAAGUAUCACAUUUUCAGCCUGUGGCGGGGCCUGCACAUUAUAGUUCCACAUUUCUAGCCUGUGAGGGGGCCUACCAAAGUACCACAUUUUUAGCCUGUGACGGGGCCUGCCAUAAUAACAAGAUAAACCCAAAGUCCCUUUUCAUACAAUCCAGUUUACAUCCACACAUCAAAUCCUUUUUAUUUAUUUCCGGCUUUAAACUAACCACGGUCACGUUUCCAGCCCGUGACGGGGCAACCAAUAUCACAUGGUUAGUUUAGAGCACCACAUCCAUCAGUCCAAUUAUGUAGGUGUAGGUUAUGCGCAUGCAUGCAUCCAUCAUGAUACCAACCACAAGCAAAUACGAACAUAGUAUCAACCACAAGCCAACACGAUCAAAAUAUAAUUUAAUAUAAAACUAUUCUUGAUUUAUCUGGAUUAUAGCAUAUCAUACAUAUCUAAGUAUAAAAAUAUUAUAUCAUGCAGGAUUGGCGUAUAAGGAUCCUUACACUUGUUGAAAGCUCAGACAACUAAUCACCCGCCCUCACGGCGAUCUAUGA